GUUCCAUCUUCUUGUAUUAAAAUAUCGAGGACUGGUGUGAUGUUAUCGUUUUGUAAUAUGCGAUGUUGAUGAUCCAUGACGUGGAAAGGAAAUUUUUCAGUUUCAUGAGAUGUUUUACAAUAGUGUUCAAUGUACCCAACAAAAUCGACGCCAACCUCUUUAAAUAUCUACAGUCGUUAUACAAUUUAUAAGUUAUGCCUUCUUCUGGAUCAAGCAUUUGUUCCUCACACACAUCGUGAUAUAAAGAAAACAAUUCUUCAAAGCAGUAGCAAAAACAAUACAUGGCAUGUACAUAACUUACAGUAAGGUUCCUUGAAAACCAUGAUGGGUCAUUAAAGGAAUUUCGCCUCUACGCAGAAUAUGACAUGAAUUCGUAACUAAAGACAGACAUCAUCUUCAUACACGCUUGCGAUAGAAACACUGUUACUGGUAGUUUCUGCUCGUGGUGAAUGAAUGGUGUCUCUAAACA